rnacentral:hammerhead_ribozyme from 1 species
AUUUACUGACAAGUCCAAAAUAAGACGAAACGCGCGUCCUGGAU